rnacentral:rRNA from 1 species
AGUGAACGCUGGCGGUAGGCCUAACACAUGCAAGUCGAACGGCAGCACAGUAAGAGCUUGCUCUUACGGGUGGCGAGUGGCUGACGGGUGAGGAAUACAUCGGAAUCUACUUUUUCGUGGGGGCUAACGUAGGGAAACUUACGCUAAUACCGCAUACGACCUACGGGUGAAAGCAGGGGAUCUUCGGACCUUGCGCGAUUGAAUGAGCCGAUGUCGGAUUAGCUAGUUGGCGGGGUAAAGGCCCACCAAGGCGACGAUCCGUAGCUGGUCUGAGAGGAUGAUCAGCCACACUGGAACUGAGACACGGUCCAGACUCCUACGGGAGGCAGCAGUGGGGAAUAUUGGACAAUGGGCGCAAGCCUGAUCCAGCCAUACCGCGUGGGUGAAGAAGGCCUUCGGGUUGUAAAGCCCUUUUGUUGGGAAAGAAAAGCAGCAGGUUAAUACCCCGCUGUUCUGACGGUACCCAAAGAAUAAGCACCGGCUAACUUCGUG